rnacentral:misc_RNA from 1 species
GAAAUAAACCUGAUGGGUUGUUGCUGGUUCUCCAGGGAGCAUUGUGCACACCUCUCAUCUUUAUAUCUCCCCCUGUGCACCUUUUGUAGACCCCACUGGGGUCUAUGUUGCUUCAUUUACCCCAAUGUAUGUUAAUAGGAUGUAUGUGCCUAUGAAAUCUAUACAACUUUCAGCAACGGAUCUCUUGGCUCU